GUAUUCCCUACUUGACGAUUAUCCUUAUAUGUGACAACUCGAACUUUCAAGAUGUGACAACUCGAACUUUCACGGUUAACAUCGUCUAAACUCGUAACACUUAGCUAGUGGUUUGAGUAUAUACGAUCUAAUUAUACGUAAUUACUAUCACUUGGAUAAUGGCAUGUUGUGAAACGCUAAGUGUUGGUUCAUAAAUUCGGCCGCGCGCGAUGUCGGGCUACACACCUCCAUUCAUCAGUCGCACACUUCAUGUUAGUGGGCUUCUAAAGGCCCAGUCUUGAUCUGCCCUAUUGGAACCCAACCCACUCGAAUAAAAUGCAUAUAUGCACGAUGAGGGACACAUUUUGCAUUUUAUUUGGCAAAGUACAAGGAAAACUACAAACCCUAGAAUGCAUAUAUGCACGGCCUAUUCUUUCCCUUUCCUUUCGCAAGUGGCGGCAGUUCUUUUCUUCCCCAUCGUUCCAUCAUCAAUGGCAACCAUCAACUGUAAACCCCUUCAAAGCUUUUGAUCACGUUUCUUAUCUUGCACAUCAAACCUCGCCAUAAACAUUCCCCAUUUACCGGAAUAUCGUCGGAGCAUAUGAUGUGUCGGGAUACGCGGAGGAUCGCGGUAGGAACCAUUCUUCGACUCUUUAAUGAUUGAUAGCACCUCUAUUCACGUCAGCACUGCAAUGGGACUCGUCGAAAACACGAAGACGUCACUGGACGUACCCGAAGCCCUCCUUCUUUCGACUCGGCUCGGUUUUCUCUCACACGAACACUUGGGUUUGGUUGAUCCAUUUGGAACGAAUAGUGAAACGUGACAUACCGAGCAAUCUAAGGUCGUUAGGGAAUGGAAACAGGAGCUUGCUGGCUGGAGGACAGGAGUGGUCAUGGUCACACUGAUGGGCUCAUUUGUUAAACACUUAUUUAUCAUGUUGAUUAGUAUUACUUUAUGAUACAAUAAUGCUUCCGCUGAACUUGAUGGUUUUUUUUGAAUUACUUAU